rnacentral:tRNA from 1 species
GCAGGUGUAGCUCUGUGGUACAGCAUGUACCUAGCAUGUGCAAAGCCCUGGGUUCAAUCUCUAGCACCUCA